rnacentral:rRNA from 1 species
AAUCUUCCUCAAUGGACGCAAGUCUGCCGGAGCAACGCCGCGUGAGUGAGGAAGGUUUUCGGAUCGUAAAGCUCUGUUGUCCGGGAAGAACGGAUGGAAGAGGAAAUGCUUUGAUCGUGACGGUACCUGAGAAGAAAGCCCCGGCUAACUACGUUCCAUCCGCCGCGGUAAUCCGUAGGGGGCAAGCGUUGUCCGGAAUUAUUGGGCGUAAAGGGCGCGCAGGCGGCGCGUUAAGGCUCAUGUAUAAGCCUCGGGCUCAACCUGGGGAGGCAUGGGAAACUGGCGAGCUGGAGUGCAGGAGAGGAAAGCGGAAUUCCACGUGUAGCGGUGAAAUGCGUAGAGAUGUGGAGGAACACCAGUGGCGAAGGCGGCUUUCUGGCCUGUAACUGACGCUGAGGCGCGAAAGCGUGGGGAGCAAAC